rnacentral:rRNA from 1 species
CACGUAGGGCGCAAGCGUUGUCCGGAAUUAUUGGGCGUAAAGAGCUCGUAGGCGGUCUGUUGCGUCCGCUGUGAAAACUCGGGGCUUAACCCCGAGCCUGCAGUGGAUACGGGCAGACUAGAGGUAGGUAGGGGAGAAUGGAAUUCCCGGUGUAGCGGUGAAAUGCGUAGAUAUUGGGGAGGAACACCAGUGGCGAAGGCGGCUCACUGGACCGGUACUGACGCUGAUGCGCGAAAAGCGUGGGGGAGCAAACAGGG